AAAAUUAAACACAUAAGCUUUUUGAGUAAAAUAUCAAAAGUCCCAGAUUCCAUUUGAAAGAAGCACAAGAAGAUGAGAAACCUGACCAAGGUUCUGUUUACUGCUCAGUCUUAAACUAAAAUGCAUAAAAGUAUUUGAAGAAAAUAUUUUCAGUGAAUAAGGGAAACACUUACUAAUACAGACUGGAGUAUCAAACCAUAAACCACCGACACAUUUGCUUGUUCCCCACCAGCCUCCGCUUUCUACAUUGUAUUCAUCAUUGCAGGAAUAACUGAUCUUUGUUCCAUGAGGAUAUGAUUCCUGCAUCGGGAGAAGAAAACCUCCAUCCAGCUUUGGAGCGCUGCAAGGCUCAGUCCAGGAACCCAAAGCAGAAGAACUAAUUCAAGACACCUCAUCCCCAUGUUAUCAGGAAUCAAAA